rnacentral:rRNA from 1 species
UGCUGUGAACUCGAAGAGUAGGGCGGGACACGUGGUAUCCUGUCUGAAUAUGGGGGGACCAUCCUCCAAGGCUAAAUACUCCUGACUGACCGAUAGUGAACCAGUACCGUGAGGGAAAGGCGAAAAGAACCCCGGCGAGGGGAGUGAAAAAGAACCUGAAACCGUGUACGUACAAGCAGUGGGAGCCUCUUUAUGGGGUGACUGCGUACCUUUUGUAUAAUGGGUCAGCGACUUAUAUUCUGUAGCAAGGUUAACCGUAUAGGGGAGCCGAAGGGAAACCGAGUCUUAACUGGGCGUUAAGUUGCAGGGUAUAGACCCGAAACCCGGUGAUCUAGCCAUGGGCAGGUUGAAGGUUGGGUAACACUAACUGGAGGACCGAACCGACUAAUGUUGAAAAAUUAGCGGAUGACCUGUGGCUGGGGGUGAAAGGCCAAUCAAACCGGGAGAUAGCUGGUUCUCCCCGAAAGCUAUUUAGGUAGCGCCUCGUGAACUCAUCUUCGGGGGUAGAGCACUGUUUCGGCUAGGGGGCCAUCCCGGCUUACCAACCCGAUGCAAACUACGAAUACCGAAGAAUGUUAUCACGGGAGACACACGGCGGGUGCUAACGUCCGUCGUGAAGAGGGAAACAACCCAGACCGCCAGCUAAGGUCCCAAAGUCAUGGUUAAGUGGGAAACGAUGUGGGAAGGCACAGACAGCCAGGAUGUUGGCUUAGAAGCAGCCAUCAUUUAAAGAAAGCGUAAUAGCUCACUGGUCGAGUCGGCCUGCGCGGAAGAUGUAACGGGGCUAAACCAUGCACCGAAGCUGCGGCAGCGACACUAUGUGUUGUUGGGUAGGGGAGCGUUCUGUAAGCCGUUGAAGGUGUGCUGUGAGGCAUGCUGGAGGUAUCAGAAGUGCGAAUGCUGACAUAAGUAACGAUAAAGCGGGUGAAAAGCCCGCUCGCCGGAAGACCAAGGGUUCCUGUCCAACGUUAAUCGGGGCAGGGUGAGUCGACCCCUAAGGCGAGGCCGAAAGGCGUAGUCGAUGGGAAACAGGUUAAUAUUCCUGUACUUGGUGUUACUGCGAAGGGGGGACGGAGAAGGCUAUGUCAGCCGGGCGACGGUUGUCCCGGUUUAAGCAUGUAGGCGGAGGUUCCAGGUAAAUCCGGUACCUUUUUAACGCUGAGGUGUGAUGACGAGGCACUACGGUGCUGAAGUGAUAAAUGCCCUGCUUCCAGGAAAAGCCUCUAAGCAUCAGGUAACACGAAAUCGUACCCCAAACCGACACAGGUGGUCAGGUAGAGAAUACCAAGGCGCUUGAGAGAACUCGGGUGAAGGAACUAGGCAAAAUGGUGCCGUAACUUCGGGAGAAGGCACGCUGAUGUGUAGGUGAAGCCCCUGCGGGCGGAGCUGAAAUCAGUCGAAGAUACCAGCUGGCUGCAACUGUUUAUUAAAAACACAGCACUGUGCAAACACGAAAGUGGACGUAUACGGUGUGACGCCUGCCCGGUGCCGGAAGGUUAAUUGAUGGGGUUAGCGGCAACGCGAAGCUCUUGAUCGAAGCCCCGGUAAACGGCGGCCGUAACUAUAACGGUCCUAAGGUAGCGAAAUUCCUUGUCGGGUAAGUUCCGACCUGCACGAAUGGCGUAAUGAUGGCCAGGCUGUCUCCACCCGAGACUCAGUGAAAUUGAACUCGCUGUGAAGAUGCAGUGUACCCGCGGCAAGACGGAAAGACCCCGUGAACCUUUACUAUAGCUUGACACUGAACACUGGUCCUUGAUGUGUAGGAUAGGUGGGAGGCUUUGAAGCGUGGACGCCAGUCUGCGUGGAGCCAACCUUGAAAUACCACCCUUUAAUGGCUGGUGUUCUAACGUAGACCCGUUACCCGGGUUGCGGACAGUGUCUGGUGGGUAGUUUGACUGGGGCGGUCUCCUCCCAAAGAGUAACGGAGGAGCACGAAGGUUGGCUAAUCCUGGUCGGACAUCAGGAGGUUAGUGCAAUGGCAUAAGCCAGCUUGACUGCGAGCGUGACGGCGCGAGCAGGUGCGAAAGCAGGUCAUAGUGAUCCGGUGGUUCUGAAUGGAAGGGCCAUCGCUCAACGGAUAAAAGGUACUCCGGGGAUAACAGGCUGAUACCGCCCAAGAGUUCAUAUCGACGGCGGUGUUUGGCACCUCGAUGUCGGCUCAUCACAUCCUGGGGCUGAAGUAGGUCCCAAGGGUAUGGCUGUUCGCCAUUUAAAGUGGUACGCGAGCUGGGUUUAGAACGUCGUGAGACAGUUCGGUCCCUAUCUGCCGUGGGCGCUGGAGAAUUGAGGGGGGCUGCUCCUAGUACGAGAGGACCGGAGUGGACGCAUCACUGGUGUUCGGGUUGUCAUGCCAAUGGCACUGCCCGGUAGCUAAAUGCGGAAGAGAUAAGUGCUGAAAGCAUCUAAGCACGAAACUUGCCCCGAGAUGAGUUCUCCCUGAGACUUUAAGUCUCCUGAAGGAACGUUGAAGACGACGACGUUGAUAGGUCGGGUGUGUAAGCGCAGCGAUGCGUUGAGCUAACCGAUACUAAUGAACCGUGAGGCUUAACCUUACAACGCCGAAGGUGUUU